rnacentral:rRNA from 1 species
CCGCACGGGUGAGUAACGCGUAUGCAACUUACCUAUCAGAGGGGGAUAACCCGGCGAAAGUCGGACUAAUACCGCAUGAAGCAGGGGCCCCGCAUGGGGAUAUUUGCUAAAGAUUCAUCGCUGAUAGAUAGGCAUGCGUUCCAUUAGGCAGUUGGCGGGGUAACGGCCCACCAAACCGACGAUGGAUAGGGGUUCUGAGAGGAAGGUCCCCCACAUUGGUACUGAGACACGGACCAA